ACUCUAGGCGGUGGAUCACUCAGCUCGUGCGUCGAUGAAGAGCGCA
rnacentral:rRNA from 1 species